GAUGAACGCUAGCGAUAGGCUUAACACAUGCAAGUCGAGGGGCAGCAUGGUCUUAGCUUGCUAAGACUGAUGGCGACCGGCGCACGGGUGCGUAACGCGUAUGCAACUUGCCUCACAGAGGGGGAUAACCCGUCGAAAGACGGACUAAUACCGCGUACACUCCAUCUUGGGCAUCCAAGGUAGAGGAAAUGAAAUUCGCUGUGAGAUAGGCAUGCGUCCCAUUAGCUAGUUGGUGAGGUAACGGCUCACCAAGGCGACGAUGGGUAGGGGAACUGAGAGGUUGAACCCCCACACUGGUACUGAGACACGGACCAGACUACUACGGGAGGCAGCAGUGAGGAAUAUUGGUCAAUGGGCGAGAGCCUGAACCAGCCAAGUCGCGUGAAGGAUGACUGUCUUAUGGAUUGUAAACUUCUUUUAGACGGGAAUAACAAGAGUCACGUGUGACUCCCCGCAUGUACCGUAUGAAUAAGCAUCGGCUAACUCCGUG
rnacentral:rRNA from 1 species